rnacentral:rRNA from 1 species
UACGGAGGGUGCAAGCGUUGUCCGGAAUCACUGGGCGUAAAGGGCGCGUAGGCGGCUCAUGAAGGCUGUGGUGAAAGUCCGGGGCUCAACCUCGGAUCGGCCGUGGCGACUCGUGGGCUGGAGCACUGUAGAGGCGGGUGGAAUUCCUGGUGUAGCGGUGAAAUGCGCAGAUAUCAGGAGGAACACCGAUGGCGAAGGCAGGUCUCUGGGCAUUAACUGACGCUGAGGAGCGAAAGCAUGGGGAGCGAACAGG